AUAUGAAGGCGGGCUGGAAUCUCUCGGGGUUACAGCCUUGCUGAAUUAUUCACCCUUGUCUUUUGCGUACUUCUUGUUUCCUUGGUGGGUUCGCCCACCACUAGGACAAACAUAAACCUUUUGUAAUUGCAAUCAGCGUCAGUAACAAAUUAAUAAUUACAACUUUCAACAACGGAUCUCUUGGUUCUGGCAUCGAUGAAGAACGCAGCGAAAUGCGAUAAGUAGUGUGAAUUGCAGAAUUCAGUGAAUCAUCGAAUCUUUGAACGCACAUUGCGCCCUUUGGUAUUCCAAAGGGCAUGCCUGUUCGAGCGUCAUUUGUACCCUCAAGCUUUGCUUGGUGUUGGGCGUCUUGUCUCUAGCUUUGCUGGAGACUCGCCUUAAAGUAAUUGGCAGCCGGCCUACUGGUUUCGGAGCGCAGCACAAGUCGCACUCUCUAUCAGCAAAGGUCUAGCAUCCAUUAAGCCUUUUCUCACCCCCUUGACCUCGGAUCAGGUAGGGAUACCCGCUGAACUUAAGCAUAUCAAUAAGCGGAGG
rnacentral:rRNA from 1 species